rnacentral:rRNA from 1 species
UACGAAGGGGGCAAGCGUUGUUCGGAUUUACUGGGCGUAAAGCGUACGUAGGCGGAUGAUUAAGUCAGGGGUGAAAUCCCGGGGCUCAACCUCGGAACUGCCUUUGAUACUGGUCAUCUUGAGUCCGGGAGAGGUGAGUGGAACUCCUAGUGUAGAGGUGAAAUUCGUAGAUAUUAGGAAGAACACCAGUGGCGAAGGCAGCUCACUGGCCCGGAACUGACGCUGAGGUACGAAAGCGUGGGGAGCAAACAGG